rnacentral:rRNA from 1 species
UACGUAGGGGGGCAAGCGUUGUCCGGAUUUAUUGGGCGUAAAGAGCGUGUAGGCGGCCAGAUAGGUCUGUUGUGAAAACUCGAGGCUCAACCUCGAGACGCCGAUGGAAACCAUUUGGCUAGAGUCCGGAAGAGGAGAGUGGAAUUCCUGGUGUAGCGGUGAAAUGCGCAGAUAUCAGGAAGAACACCCGUGGCUAAGGCGGCUCUCUAGUACGGUACUGACGCUGAGACGCGAAAGCGUGGGGAGCGAACAGG